rnacentral:rRNA from 1 species
AUUGAACGCUGGCGGCAUGCUUUACACAUGCAAGUCGAACGGUAACAGGUUAAGCUGACGAGUGGCGAACGGGUGAGUAAUGCAUCGGAACGUGCCCGGUCGUGGGGGAUAACGCAGCGAAAGCUGCGCUAAUACCGCAUACGAUCUGAGGAUGAAAGCGGGGGACCGUAAGGCCUCGCGCGAUCGGAGCGGCCGAUGUCAGAUUAGGUAGUUGGUGGGGUAAAGGCUCACCAAGCCGACGAUCUGUAGCUGGUCUGAGAGGUCGACCAGCCACACUGGGACUGAGACACGGCCCAGACUCCUACGGGAGGCAGCAGUGGGGAAUUUUGGACAAUGGGGGCAAGCCUGAUCCAGCAAUGCCGCGUGCAGGAAGAAGGCCUUCGGGUUGUAAACUGCUUUUGUACGGAGCGAAAAGGCUCUCUCUAAUACAGGGGGCUCAUGACGGUACCGUAAGAAUAAGCACCGGCUAACUACGUGCCAGCCGCCGCAGUAA